rnacentral:rRNA from 1 species
UACGGAGGAUGCAAGCGUUAUCCGGAAUGAUUGGGCGUAAAGCGUCCGCAGGUGGCUGUGUAAGUCUGCUGUCAAAGAGCGAAGCUCAACUUCGUAAAGGCAGUGGAAACUACACGGCUAGAGUGCGUUCGGGGCAGAGGGAAUUCCUGGUGUAGCGGUGAAAUGCGUAGAGAUCAGGAAGAACACCGGUGGCGAAGGCGCUCUGCUAGGCCGCAACUGACACUCAGGGACGAAAGCUAGGGGAGCGAAUGGG